rnacentral:tRNA from 1 species
GGUGUUGUGGCUCAGUGGUAGAGCACUCACCUAGCAAGGGUGAGGUACUGGAUUCAGUCCUCAGCACCA